CAAAAGGUGGUUUUGAUCCUCAUUCUAACCACCACCAAUUUUGAAAACAACAUAAAAU
rfam:Solanum lycopersicum cultivar Heinz 1706 chromosome 4, whole genome shotgun sequence.